AAGAAAUCAAAGCCAUAGAGGCAGUGCUGAGAAUAAUGUGGGAAGGUUAAAGAGAGGCUGUGGCUAUGAUGAUAAAUCAUAAAUCAAAGCGUAAGGAUUAAGACUGAGACCGAAUAUGGUGCCUCAGAUGUGCAAAUUAAUGACUAACAACAAUACCAAGAACUGAAAACACUGACAAGAAUGUACCUUUAGAUAGUUAAUAAACUGUAAAAGGGAUGUAUAAAACCUUCUAAAACUGCACGAAGCCCCCCAGGGGAGCCACAGCACAUUUACAAAGGUGCCACA
rnacentral:lncRNA from 1 species